rnacentral:lncRNA from 1 species
UCAAGUAGCUUCCACGAGCUUGAAAACUUCUCAAGUAGCUUCUACAAACUACAAAGCUUCUCUAGAACCUUUUAGAAUCUUCUACAACUUCCUAGUGUAUGUCCUUGACAUCACCCCCCUCCUCCUUUUGCUUCGAGGUCUACGAGAAGCACUCCUAUUACGAGUCAGUACCAACGUAAGAAGUUAAAAAUUUGUCACAUAGUGUCUACAAUAUACUCCAAU